rnacentral:rRNA from 1 species
UACGAAGGGGGCUAGCGUUGUUCGGAAUUACUGGGCGUAAAGCGCACGUAGGCGGACAUUUAAGUCAGGGGUGAAAUCCCAGAGCUCAACUCUGGAACUGCCUUUGAUACUGGGUGUCUUGAGUAUGGAAGAGGUGAGUGGAAUUCCGAGUGUAGAGGUGAAAUUCGUAGAUAUUCGGAGGAACACCAGUGGCGAAGGCGACUACCUGGCCUGUUUCUUGACGCUGAGGCGCGAAAGCUAGGGGAGCAAACGGG